rnacentral:rRNA from 1 species
CCUUGAUGACGACUGGCGCACGGGUGAGUAACGCGUAUCCAACCUUCCCAUAACUACGGGAUAACCCGUUGAAAGACGGCCUAAUACCGUAUGAUAUCGUUUGCUGACAUCAAAUAACGAUUAAAGGUUUAGCGGUUAUGGAUGGGGAUGCGUCUGAUUAGCUUGUUGGCGGGGUAACGGCCCACCAAGGCUACGAUCAGUAGGGGUUCUGAGAGGAAGGUCCCCCACAUUGGAACUGAGACACGGUCCAAACUCCUACGGGAGGCAGCAGAC